GGGAGAUUGAGAGACCAGUGUUGGACUGUAGAACUGCUUUGAAAUUCAUAUAAGCUGUUCGCACUAAAGUAAAAAGCACCAUCACUUCAUGCGGAUACCUUCUCGGCGCCAGCUGCGGUCGCAAGGCUGGAGCUGUACAACAACACCCUGAUUACAGACUGUGUUUAGUCUGUUCCUUCCCAUUCCAUGCAAGGCCACCUGGGUUGGCUGGAAGACUGUUUACUUAGCCUGGCAGGGCGAAGGACACUGUCUCAGCUGAACUCUGGACACGCACACACAUACAUAUACACUGAUAUGCACACACUCAUCCCCCCCUCCCUUUCCAAACGCCUUCGACGCUUAUUCCCUUCCGAUGCUGACGGUGGAUCAAGGAGACCAGCGCAUAGGCUGCAAGCCCGGAUGUACUGUCUAAAUCGGCUGUCUCUCACCCUUUACCCACCCCUGUUGCUUGUCAUGUGUUUCUUUGGUGUAUUAAGAGUUUUUUUCAUGUGCUAUGUGCAGAGGUGUUUUUUUUCUGUUCUCAAACUGAUCUCCCUGUUGGAGCUCAGUCUGGGGGGAGUUAUUUUUUUCUCCUUAUCUUUCCUCGUGUGGUGCUUUUUCCAUGUUAUACCUCUCUGACCUGUCUUCCCCAUGUGAUGUUUUGUGUAAUGUAUGUAUGGUCGGAGGGUAAGAUGGCGCCGCCAUUGCGUGCAAUAGGUCGGCAGCCUUAUGAAAUUUCCCCCUUGUGGGACUAAUAAAGGUAUAUCAAUCAAUCAAUCAAUCAAUCAAAAGCAAUGUCUGACUUUCAUUGGUUAACAUUCAUAGAAUUGUUGUUAUUACUUUUGUCAGAAUAGUGAGUUCAGUGACCAUUGUGACUUUUUCUUUCAUUGACCGAAGGGUGCCAGCAGUUUUGUCCACGUGUGUAUGUCCCACUGGGAGGAGUUCCCCUGGAUAAAGCUGGAGGUGGUGGCUGGGCAGAGAGAGUUCUGGGCUUCUCUGCUUGGGUCCCAGAGGCAGGAUCCUGACUGCAGAUAAAUGGAACAGUGCAAUGAUUCAGCUUGAUUGUCUAUCUUGAGGAUACCAGGAGAGACGAGCCCUCCGUCACAGAUGGUGUGUUCAGUGAAGAAAGUCACCUGCAGAUUCAAGACCAUUGCAUCUCUAUCCCACAUUCACUGCCACUGUACAUAAGGGAAGUUGAACUUUCUUCAACCACUGCAUUUUCAUCAUCUUAAUCCAUGAGUCAUUCAGGCAGUAAUGCCUGGACUGAGCAGGACUGCUUAAACUUGGGUUCAAAAUAAUUCAAUCUAAAACUUUGGUUUUGUUUU
ensembl:lncRNA